GGUAAAAAAAGUUAAAAGCUGCACCAUGCUCUUCACAGCAUGCCUCUCCUGCACAUGCGUCCACUUCAUCUUCUGCUGCUUGUUCACCAGCUCAUUCCGAAGACACAAGUGGCGAGGACAUGGUAACUUUGUGGCCAGGGGUGGCCAUAACAGUUUGGCAAAAGAGAUUACUAAAUGCCAAAAAAAACAAAUGUUAAAGAAUACACAAACACCCUGCUGCGGAUGAUUCACACACCAGAAUUACUACAGUCAUCUUCCCUCACUGGGAAGAAAAGCAACGCUUUUAAAGAUAUGAGUGCCAAAAAGAAGCUGCCUGGUGUAGAGUUCGCAAUUGAUUAUAUCAAAGAACAGACCCGGUCUCCUGAUGCUAAACCAGUCAAAACGGCCAUCACUCACCUGUUGAACACGGAAAGCAAACG